GCAGAUCAUAAUUUUCCAGCAUGUUAUGUGAAUACAGAUGGAUCUUCUAUUUGUGGGAGAGAACUGCACAGUAAUAAGAAAUUUGAUCUGGAAGAAGAAAACGAAGAAAAUGAGGAUUUCCUGAGAUACUUCUGCCUAUCCUUGCCAAUAUUUGAUAAAGAGAAGGAUCUAAUGUUCCUAAGAAAAUAA